GAUGAAGAACGCAGCGAAAUGCGAUAAGUAAUGUGAAUCGCAGAAUUCAGUGAAUCAUCGAAUCUUUGAACGCACCUUGCGCCCUGUGGUAUUCCGCAGGGCAUGCCUGUUCGAGCGUCAUUUCAACCCUCAAGCUCUGCUUGGUGUUGGGCCCUGCCCGCUGCGGCCGGCCCUAAAGACAGUGGCGGUGCCGCCUGGCCCUGAGCGUAGUACAUCUCUCGCUCCAGUGCCCGGUGGUAGCCUGCCAGAACCCCAACUCUCGUGGUUGACCUCGGAUCAGGUAGGGAUACCCGCUGAACUUAAGCAUAUCAAUAAGCGGAGGA
rnacentral:misc_RNA from 1 species